rnacentral:rRNA from 1 species
AAUCAACGCUGGCGGCGUGCCUCAGACAUGCAAGUCGAACGAUUAAGACUUCCUUCGGGAAGUGUAUAAAGUGGCGCACGGGUGAGUAACACGUAAGUAAUCUACCCUCGAGUGGGGAAUAACGUUCGGAAACGAACGCUAAUACCGCAUAAUGCAGCGGCAUCGCAAGAUGAAAGUUGUUAAAGGAGUAAUUCGCUUGAGGAGGAGCUUGCGGCAGAUUAGCUAGUUGGUAAGGUAACGGCUUACCAAGGCUACGAUCUGUAUCCGGUCUAAGAGGACGGUCGGACACACUGACACUGAAUAACGGGUCAGACUCCUACGGGAGGCAGCAGUCGGGAAUUUUGGGCAAUGGGCGAAAGCCUGACCCAGCAACGCCGCGUGAAGGAUGAAGUAUUUCGGUAUGUAAACUUCGAAAGAAUGGGAAGAAUAAAUGACGGUACCAUUUAUAAGCUCCGGCUAACUACGUGCCAGCAGCCGCCGCAGUAA